rnacentral:rRNA from 1 species
GUACGUAGGCAGCAAGCGUUGUUCGGAGUUACUGGGCGUAAAGGGUGCGUAGGCGGUUGUUUAAGUUUGGUGUGAAAUCUCCCGGCUCAACUGGGAGGUGCGCCGAAUACUGAAUGACUAGAGUGCGGGAGAGGAGAGUGGAAUUCUGGUGUAGCGGUGAAAUGCGUAGAUAUCAGGAGGAACACCGGUGGUGUAGACGGCUCUCUGGACCGUAACUGACGCUGAGGCACGAAAGCGUGGGUAGCAAACAGG